UACGUAGGGGGCAAGCGUUGUCCGGAAUUAUUGGGCGUAAAGAGCGCGUAGGCGGUCCGGUAAGUCGGUUGUGAAAAGUCGGGGGCUCAACCCUCGGAUGCCGAUCGAUACUGUCGGGCUAGAGUCCGGAAGAGGCGAGUGGAAUUCCUGGUGUAGCGGUGAAAUGCGCAGAUAUCAAGAGGAACACCUGAGGUGAAGACGGGUUGCUGGGCUGACACUGACGCUGAGGCGCGAAAGCCAGGGGAGCAAACGGG
rnacentral:rRNA from 1 species